GGAAGGGUAUAGCUCAGUGGUACAGUGUGCGCCUAUCAUGCACGAGGUUCUGGGUUCAAUCCCCAGUACCUCCA